GGCGAACGCUGGCGGCGUGCUUAACACAUGCAAGUCGAACGGAAAGGCCCUGCUUUUGUGGGGUGCUCGAGUGGCGAACGGGUGUGUAACACGUGAGUAACCUGCCCUUGACUUUGGGAUAACUUCAGGAAACUGGGGCUAAUACCGGAUAGGAGCUCCUGCUGCAUGGUGGGGGUUGGAAAGUUUCGGCGGUUGGGGAUGGACUCGCGGCUUAUCAGCUUGUUGGUGGGGUAGUGGCUUACCAAGGCUUUGACGGGUAGCCGGCCUGAGAGGGUGACCGGCCACAUUGGGACUGAGAUACGGCCCAGACUCCUACGGGAGGCAGCAGUGGAGAAUAUUGCACAAUGGGCGGAAGCCUGAUGCAGCAACGCCGCGUGCGGGAUGACGGCCUUCGGGUUGUAAACCGCUUUCGCCUGUGACGAAGCGUGAGUGACGGUAAUGGGUAAAGAAGCACCGGCUAACUACGUG
rnacentral:rRNA from 1 species